GAUGAAGAACGCAGCGAAAUGCGAUACGUAAUGUGAAUUGCAGAAUUCAGUGAAUCAUCGAAUCUUUGAACGCAUAUUGCGCUCUCUGGUAUUCCGGAGAGCAUGCUUGUUUGAGUAUCAGUAAACACCUCAACUUCCAUAUCUUUUUUGAAAUGGAAGUUGGACUUGAGUGAUCCCAACGCUUUUCCUCACCGAAAAGUGGCGGGUUACUUGAAAUGCAGGUGCAGCUGGACUUUUCUCUGAGCUAUAAGCAUAUCUAUUUAGUCUGCCUAAAAAACAGAUUAUUACCUUUGCUGCAGCUAACAUAAAGGAGAUUAGUUCUUGUGCUGACUGAUGCAGGAUUCACAAAGACAGGCUUCGGCCGACUUUGUAAACUCGAUCUCAAAUCAAGUAAGACUACCCGCUGAACUUAAGCAUAUCAAUAAGCGGAGGA
rnacentral:misc_RNA from 1 species